GUCGGUACUCUUCUUGAGGUCUCUGAUUUUACAGUGUUUGGCAAUGGGAUGCCAAGAAAUUAGCAGCAACCUUCCAACUGUAUCUAAGCCAGGUUGGUUUGUGUGAUGCCCACUGAGAAUGGCAUGAACUUUUUGCAAGUUAAGUAGACUGCCAAAAAGUUACAUGUAAAUUGUCCCCCUAUAUCACCCCUGAGCCUUUCCAUAUAUGGCUGCUUCUGAGUGUCCUUUGGGGUUAUUUUUUCCUGAAUGUCAAUAGCCUAUAUUAUUUCAGUUUUAUUAUGCUAUUUCCUGGCCCUGCUGCUAAUCACUGUAGGCGCCACAGCGUAAUUUCUCUGUUCAAUAACAUUAAAAACUCCUCCCAACUUAGCUUCAUCACUAUCUUGCUUAACUGUGUACUUCCCCUGCUUCCUUGUUUGUGAAUUGCUUUCACUUUUUUUUUUCCCCCAAUCUUUUUUUCCUCUUCCUCUAUGCUCUUCUUGGAAUAUCUUUCCCUUAAAACAGGAUCUAUAGGACUUCCCCCCCCGCCUUUUUUUUUUCCUCCUUGAGAAAACACAUCCUUUCUUCUACUUUCUGCAUCUGCUUGUUAUACAUAAUAGGUUUAUGCUGGGCUACAUCUGAUACAUAUUCUCAGAAUAACUGCUGGUGAUGGUGUGUUGUCCCACAUGCUGAAAGAUAAAGUAAGAGGAGAAUGUGGAGGUUUCCAUGAUACUGUAUGUCACUGCAGGAGGAGGGAUUAACAGUAUAGUGGGGCAGACAAACCCUGGAGAGAAGGAACCUCCGCCCCUCUCCAGGCAGAACACACGAGAUGCUAAGGCUUGAAAUUUAUGGCACCUGAUUUAAAAGCCAGGACAUCUCCUGGUCUCCGGGGAAGGGAAAUGACCCUUGGCUUAUUUUGCAGUCACUCCUUUUUGGAGAAGGAAGUGCUAAUAAGAGCUAACUUGAAGCACAACAGCUUGGGACAAAUGAAGGCCAAAAAGCAGGAGCGUAAUUGAUGUGAGUGGGAAUACAGCGAAGCCAAGAAGAACACGUGAGAAGUCUCCCUUGUGAGCGGUGCUCUGCAAGUGAUAGAAAUUAGCAGUCAUGUUCAUGUCUGAGGCUGGAGCUACCGAGCACCCAGAGCCACCCAUGAGGGCUGCUUUUUCCCCUAAAGCAGUGUUGGAAGAACUCAAAAAAUCCACAUGGACACCAGUGGGAGUUAGGGGUGGAGAGAGACUGCAUUGCACACCCCAUAGAUACGUGAGUGCUGUAACCAUCUGAGAACAGCACUGGGACCUGGGACACUCACCCAGGACGCCAAGGGGAAAUCCAAGGUGGGAUUUCAAAGCACAGCAUCCUCGGGCACAUGCUCAUCCUGCCCCGUCCCCCUGCAGAUAUCCAUGUUCCCCCCUCUCCUGGAGGGCUCAGAUUCAUCUCCCAGCAGUCACCUGUCAUUAAGCUGAAAUGGAUCCG
ensembl:lncRNA